rnacentral:rRNA from 1 species
GACGAACGCUGGCGGCGUGCCUAAUACAUGCAAGUCGAACGCUGAAGGAGGAGCUUGCUUCUCUGGAUGAGUUGCGAACGGGUGAGUAACGCGUAGGUAACCUGCCUGGUAGCGGGGGAUAACUAUUGGAAACGAUAGCUAAUACCGCAUAAGAGUAGAUGUCGCAUGACAUUUGCUUAAAAGGUGCAAUUGCAUCACUACCAGAUGGACCUGCGUUGUAUUAGCUAGUUGGUGAGGUAACGGCUCACCAAGGCAACGAUACAUAGCCGACCUGAGAGGGUGAUCGGCCACACUGGGACUGAGACACGGCCCAGACUCCUACGGGAGGCAGCAGUAGGGAAUCUUCGGCAAUGGACGGAAGUCUGACCGAGCAACGCCGCGUGAGUGAAGAAGGUUUUCGGAUCGUAAAGCUCUGUUGUAAGAGAAGAACGAGUGUGAGAGUGGAAAGUUCACACUGUGACGGUAUCUUACCAGAAAGGGACGGCUAACUACGUG